rnacentral:rRNA from 1 species
AAGGAGCUUGCUCCUUUGACGUUAGCGGCGGACGGGUGAGUAACACGUGGAUAACCUACCUAUAAGACUGGGAUAACUUCGGGAAACCGGAGCUAAUACCGGAUAACAUAUUGAACCGCAUGGUUCAAUAGUGAAAGGCGGCUUUGCUGUCACUUAUAGAUGGAUCCGCGCCGUAUUAGCUAGUUGGUAAGGUAACGGCUUACCAAGGCAACGAUACGUAGCCGACCUGAGAGGGUGAUCGGCCACACUGGAACUGAGACACGGUCCAGACUCCUACGGGAGGCAGCAGUAGGGAAUCUUCCGCAAUGGGCGAAAGCCUGACGGAGCAACGCCGCGUGAGUGAUGAAGGUCUUCGGAUCGUAAAACUCUGUUAUCAGGGAAGAACAAAUGUGUAAGUAACUGUGCACAUCUUGACGGUACCUGAUCAGAAAGCCACGGCUAACUACGUGCCAGCAGCCGCGGUAAUACGUAGGUGGCAAGCGUUAUCCGGAAUUAUUGGGCGUAAAGCGCGCGUAGGCGGUUUUUUAAGUCUGAUGUGAAAGCCCACGGCUCAACCGUGGAGGGUCAUUGGAAACUGGAAAACUUGAG